AGGCCAUGCAAGGGCCAUUAUUUCGGGUUUGACAUAAGAGCAACUUUGGUGCACCAUGUCAUAAACCAUGGCCUGACUAUGAGGGAAGAUGGGAAGAGAGUCCACACUAAUGUAAGGACUUUCAUAGUUUCAUCCAUAAUGACAUUCCGACAGGAAAACAGAAUGGCUAGAAGACCUACUGGGGGUGGACGGCGGUGCCUGUUCACCCAACAGCAGUAUCUUGCCAUAGUGAACCUAGUCAGAGCAAACACUGCAAUCCGUCUCCACCAGCUACAGCCACAAAUACUUGCAGAUAGGCAAGUAUUCAACAACAUAAAUCGAGUAAGCAUUACCACUAUCAGACGCAUCUUGGUAAAGCAUAACAUGACUGUGAAGCAAUUGUAAAGGGUCCCAUUUGAGAGGAACAGUGUUGGGGUCAAAGAACUUCAACAUGAAUAUGUACAGAGAAUCUUGGACAUGGAUGGAGCUGGCCAGCCGCAUGAAUGUAUUUAUAUUGACGAGGCUGGAUUCAACCUUAGCAAAAACAGACGAUAGGGAUGCCAAAGGGCAAUUGUGCACGUCCCGGGGCAGCGCGGGGGAAAUAUCACAUUGUGUGCUGCCCUAAGUCUUCGAGGGCUACUGCACCAUCAUGCCAAACUGGGUCCCUAUAAUGCGCAACACAUAAUCACAUUUCUAGAUGCAUUUCAUGACGCACAGGAUUGUACAGGAUGGACCAGAGCAGCCCAGGUUUGUUGUUGUCUGGGAUAAUGUUAGUUUCCAUCGGGCUGCUCUGGUCCAGAACUGGUUCACCAACCAUGAUCAGUUUGAAGUUGUAUACUUGCCCCCUUACUCGCCAUUUCUAAAUCCUAUAGAGGAAUUUAUCUCCACUUGGAGAUAGCAGGUAUAUGACCCAACCACAUGCACCGUAUGCCUCUUCUGCAGGCAAUGGAACAGGCCUGCAGAGACAUUGAAUUAAGGUCAAUCCAGGGAUGGGUUCGGCGCAUAAGGGGAUUUUUUCCCCAUGCUUAGCGAGAGAAGACAUUACUUGUGAUGUUAAGCCCACUUUCGCAGAAUUGUGUUUUUCUGUUUUUACUGUAGUGUAUUGUUUGUUUUUUAUUUUUGCUUUAACUGAAUUUACUGUACUGUAAAAUAUACUAAUGUAAUGAUUUUGAAUUGAGUAUUUCAUUUUUUGGUUGUGAAAAUGCCCUCUGUGGAACUGAAUAAAAGCAGUGAAAACGAAA